UACGUAGGGUGCGAGCGUUGUUCGGAAUUACUGGGCGUAAAGCGUGCGUAGGUGGUGAGUUAAAUCUGUCGUGAAAGCCCCGGGCUCAACCUGGGAAUGGCGAUGGAUACUGGCUCGCUAGAGUGCGGUAGAGGAGAGUGGAAUUCCCGGUGUAGCAGUGAAAUGCGUAGAGAUCGGGAGGAACAUCAGUUGCGAAGGCGGCUCUCUGGACCAGCACUGACACUGAGGCACGAAAGCGUGGGGAGCAAACAGG
rnacentral:rRNA from 1 species